rnacentral:rRNA from 1 species
GACGAACGCUGGCGGCGUGCCUAAUACAUGCAAGUCGAGCGAACAGACGAGGAGCUUGCUCCUCUGACGUUAGCGGAGGACGGGUGAGUAACACGUGGAUAACCUACCUAUAAGACUGGGAUAACUUCGGGAAACCGGCGCUAAUACCGGAUAAUAUAUUGAACCGUAUGGUUCAAUAGUGAAAGACGGCUUUGCUGUCACUUAUAGAUGGAUCCGCGCCGCAUUAGCUAGUUGGUAGGGUAACGGCUUAUCAAGGCAACGAUGCGUAGCCGAACUGAGAGGGUGGUCGGCCACACGGGAGCUGGGACACGGUCCAGACUCCUACGGGAGGCAGCAGUAGGGAAUCUGCCGCAAUGGGCGAAAGCUUGACGGAGCAACGCCGCGUGAGUGAUGAAGGUCUUCGGAUCGUAAAACUCUGUUAUUAGGGAAGAACAAAUGUGUAAGUAACUAUGCACGUCGUGACGGUACCUAAUCAGAAAGCCACGGCUAACUACGUG